UAUGAAACUAAGGAACAGCUGGUUACUA
rnacentral:sRNA from 1 species